GACGAACGCUGGCGGCGUGCUUAACACAUGCAAGUCGAACGGAAAGGCCCUGCUUUUGUGGGGUGCUCGAGUGGCGAACGGGUGAGUAACACGUGAGUGACCUUCCCUUGACUUUGGGAUAACUUCAGGAAACUGGGGCUAAUACCGGAUAGGAGCUCCUGCUGCAUGGUGGGGGUUGGAAAGUUUCGGCGGUUGGGGAUGGACUCGCGGCUUAUCAGCUUGUUGGUGGGGGAGUGGCUGACCAAGGCUUUGACGGGUAGCCGGCAUGAGAGGGUGACCGGACACAUUGGGACUGAGAUACGGACCAGACUCAUAAGGGAGACAGCAGUGGGGAAUAUUGCACAGUGGGCGGAAGCGUGAUGCAGCAACGCCGCGUGCGGGAUGACGGCCUUCGGGUUGUAAACCGCUUUCGACUGUGACGAAGAGUGAGUGACGGUAAUGAGUAAAGAAGCACCGGCUAACUACGUG
rnacentral:rRNA from 1 species